UACGAAGGGGGCGAGCGUUGUUCGGAAUCACUGGGCGUAAAGCGCACGUAGGCGGCGCGUUAAGUCAGGGGUGAAAUCCUGGAGCUCAACUCCAGAACUGCCUUUGAUACUGGCGUGCUCGAGUGUGGGAGAGGUUGGGGGAACUCCGAGUGUAGAGGUGAAAUUCGUAGAUAUUCGGAAGAACAUCAGUGGCGAAGGCGGCCACCUGGCCCAUUCGUGACGCUGAGGUGCGACUGCGUGGGGCGCAAACAGC
rnacentral:rRNA from 1 species